rnacentral:rRNA from 1 species
UACGUAGGGUGCAAGCGUUAAUCGGAAUUCCUGGGCGUAAAGCGUGCGCAGGCGGUGAUGUAAGACAGUUGUGAAAUCCCCGGGCUCAACCUGGGAACUGCAUCUGUGACUGCAUCGCUGGAGUACGGUAGAGGGGGAUGGAAUUCCGCGUGUAGCAGUGAAACGCGUAGAUAUGCGGAGGAACACCGAUGGCGAAGGCAAUCCCCUGGACCUGUACUGACGCUCAUGCACGAAAGCGUGGGGAGCAAACAGG